GUAUAUGUGCAUGUAUAUGCAUAUUAUGUAUGUGUGUAUAUUCAGUGUAUUGUGUUACUUAUAUAGACAUGUAUGUGUGUAUAUAUCCACAUGUGUACAUACGUGUGUGAUGAGAGAGAGAAUAAAUACAAGGACAUUGAAUACAAGUUAGUCUGGGGAGGAAGAGCUUUACCACCUGGGGAGAAUCUGACAAAGCCACACAUAGAAAUUGAGUAGUAAAGGACCAAGGCAUUCUAAGAGGUAAGACAGGAGAGCAUUCCAGGCACAGGGAGUGUCCAGGCCGUCUGGUCCACUCUCUCCUUUUACAAAUGAGGAAACUGAGACCCAGAGAAGGAUAGGGGCUCUCCCCAGCCUACACAGAUAGUAAACAGCAGAACCAAAUUUCAAACCUAAAUCCUUUGACUCAAAAACCUUUCCAUUAUGUUUCACGUUGGUGCCAUAAAAAAAUUUCCCAGGUACACUUGGUCUGCUUCUUCAGGGACCUUGUGGAUUAUAAAAGCAGCAAGCCGAGAUCUUGGGGUGCAGGGACGCAGUGUGGUCCCACUGGUCGUCUUCUUCUGUUCUCAGCCUAGCCUUUAUCGCGGUGCUAGCAGCUGCUGCUGUUUCCCGCGGGUGGAGGACAUCGGUGGCCCUCGGCGCUUUUCGCAUUGCUGGGCAUGUAAAUGUGCCUGUCCUCCCAUCUCAAGAGCUCUUAUGAAGUCCUAAGCCUCCCACGGUGAUGGUAUUCUUGGAGUGAUCAAAAGCUCAGCAUUUGGAGUCAGGGGACCUUGGUUCGAAUACUGCUUUUGCUGCUCUGUGACUUGGGUGAGUUACUUUCCCUUAAAGGGCUUCAUUUUCCUCUUUUAUAAAAUGAAGGAGUUGACCUUUGUUAUUAUUGUUCAUUCAUUUCAGUCGUGUCAGAC
rnacentral:lncRNA from 1 species